UCUAUGUCAAUGAGGCUAAAAGCUCUUCUGGAGGCAGUUGGCCCACAAGCUUAGUAACACACUUUCAUUUUUCAUAGAUGAGAAGCCAAGAAAUUCCUUAAGAUGCAUCAGUCUGACACCAAGAAAACUCCAACUGUACUGAAUUGGCAGAGAAACCAGUCAGUAAAUCUGAUUACAUAACCGAUUUCAAACGUUGUCAACAGCGUGCUUGAAAGUCUAAAACAAACCUUGAGGCAGUUAAAAGCUUGACAUAACAGACAGUGAAAAGAUGAAGUUUUCCAGCAGUAAAGUGCACAGCAGGUUGAUAGUUGUGCGAAUGGAUUCAAAGCACGGACAAACGCACAGAGAAACCCGUGCACACAUCAGAGAUGGAACAACUGUGAUUACAUCUUCCGUGAUAGCCAUGUGAAGCUGUGUUGCAAUGUUUUGAGAUCAUUCAGGUAACAGAACUGGUAAAUAAAUUGGGAAAACAUCAGAAUAGUCUAGUUUGUUUUUUCUUCAUGUUCUAAUCGCGAUCAAAUGUUCAGGCCUGUGGUUAAAAAAAGAUAGAAACCGAACUGUGGUUUUCAAUAAUUGUUAUUUUAUUACUAUUCA